AGGACGAACGCUGGCGGCGCGCUUAAUACAUGCAAGUCGAGCGAGAACCGGACCUUCGGGUCCGGGGAAAGCGGCGAACGGGUGAGUAACACGUGGGUAAUCUGCCCUCGGUACUGGGAUAGCCCGGGGAAACCCGGAUUAAUACCGGAUAGCCUUUCGAGCUCUCGGGCUCGUUAGAAAAUGGUGGCUUCGCUUCCGACUGA
rnacentral:rRNA from 1 species